rnacentral:rRNA from 1 species
CCUACGGGAGGCUGCAGUGAGGAAUAUUGGUCAAUGGGCGAGAGCCUGUACCAGCCAAGUCGCGUGAGGGAGUACUGCCCUAUGGGUUGUAAACCUCUUUUGUCGGGGAGCAAAAGCCGGACGUGUCCGGCUGUGAGAGUACCCGAAGAAAAAGCAUCGGCUAACUCCGUGCCAGCAGCCGCGGUAAUACGGAGGAUGCGAGCGUUAUCCGGAUUUAUUGGGUUUAAAGGGUGCGCAGGCGGAUUUUUAAGUCAGCGGUAAAAUCGUGGGGCUCAACCCCAUCCAGCCGUUGAAACUGGGGAUCUAGAGUGUGCGAGAGGUAUGCGGAAUGCGUGGUGUAGCGGUGAAAUGCAUAGAUAUCACGCAGAACCCCGAUUGCGAAGGCAGCAUACCGGUGCACAACUGACGCUCAGGCACGAAAGCGUGGGUAUCGAACAGGAUUAGAUACCCGUGUAGUC